UGGGGAAUAUUGCACAAUGGGCGCAAGCCUGAUGCAGCCAUGCCGCGUGUAUGAAGAAGGCCUUCGGGUUGUAAAGUACUUUCAGCGAGGAGGAAGGCGUUGUGGUUAAUAACCGCAACGAUUGACGUUACUCGCAGAAGAAGCACCGGCUAACUCCGUGCCAGCAGCCGCGGUAAUACGGAGGGUGCAAGCGUUAAUCGGAAUUACUGGGCGUAAAGCGCACGCAGGCGGUCUGUCAAGUCGGAUGUGAAAUCCCCGGGCUCAACCUGGGAACUGCAGCCGAAACUGGCAGGCUAGAGUCUUGUAGAGGGGGGUAGAAUUCCAGGUGUAGCGGUGAAAUGCGUAGAGAUCUGGAGGAAUACCGGUGGCGAAGGCGGCCCCCUGGACAAAGACUGACGCUCAGGUGCGAAAGCGUGGGGAGCAAACA
rnacentral:rRNA from 1 species